ensembl:lincRNA
UGAAACACAAGCUGCUGAGCUUUACUCCAGAAUUUCUGGUUCAGUAGGUCUGCAGUAGGACCUGAAAUUUUAUAUUUCUAACAAGUUUUCAGGAGCUGCUGAUGCCGCUAGUACAGGGCUCACAUUUUGAGAACCUCUGGUCUAGCAAGUUGCCACCAAGAAUGAAGAUUGGGCCAGAGAACAAGAAACAAGUCAACAUUUUGAUUUCAAACAUCAGAAAAGGUGUCCAGAAAUCUCAAGAAUUUGAGACAUCCUAAGGAACUUUAAGUGCUGUGAGCCACAAGUAACAUCAAGAAAAGACAGGGAUGAAGAACCGCACUUACAAGCUCAGUAAGAUUAAACCCAGCAUGGAGAUAUAUGAAUUAAUAUGAACUCUGAGAAAGAAAUUGGUCAGCUAAAAAAUAUAUGGCUUUCCUGAAUAGACAAAAGAACAAAGAUUUUCCCUUUGGAAAUGCAGUAGACAUUUGUCACCAGCAGCUCUUUGGAGACUUCAAUGUUCCUUCCUCCCAGGAUCUGAAAGGGGACUUCAGACACGUAAGAGUCAUAUUUUGCAAACCAGCAGAAUUUUUGUGCAAGGUUUAUCAGACAAGUGAGAGGCUGUGAAGGCAGACUUUGGGAAAUAGUUUUAACAGUUCAUAAAUCAGAUGUAAUUGAAAAGGAGAGGAUCUCCUUUUUGAGAGCCAUGAAAACCUUUCUUUUGUAAUCUCCUUACUGGGGCAGAAUUGUAAUGUGUACAAGGGCCGGGGGUCUAAUGAAGUCAGGUUGCCUUGGGUCACUCAAGGUAAUUUGUUUUUUCUGGCCAAAUCAUGAAACAGAACUGCAUUCUGCUCCCUGUUACAUUUAUAUGAUAGCAUCUCUUUUGAUAUUGUCAAGUGUGUUAUGCCAGGUUGCAUAGCAUUACCGAUAACAACAUUCUUUGGAAAAUUGUUUUUUUUUUUCACACACCAAAUAGCAGCAGCUGAAAUCAGUUGGAGUUCUUGGCUGGCCAGGAAGUAAAAAGUGCUUUUCAUAUAAAAUUCCUAAGAAACCCUAGAAACAUGAUGCAAAGCAUUUGUACCCCUUUUACUUUCAAACUAGUAGAAUUUAUGUGACUUUUGAAAAUUAUAUUUGUUACACUGAUAAAAAUGCAGUUGCAUAUGAAGAGUAGGAGACCCUAAAGGGACUUGCCUAAGAUUUUCAUUUGAAUUUAGUACAUUAUGAGUUGUCAUAGUAUAAGAGGCAGGUUUGGAGGAUUGAUAGUGUUCUUAACUUCAGGGAGAAUCUAAGACACCAGGAGCUCAGAAGAAUGGAGUCUCAAGACAUCAGGCAAAUACCGAAGAGAUCAGAGCCAAGUUCUAAAGGGCAGCCAUUUCCCAAAUGUCAACCAAGAGCGAAGCCAAGAGAAUUAUGAUUUCCUGGCUAUACAAUCACAGGAAAAGCCUGAUCAAAGCUGGAGUGCAAGUUAAAAAGUGUAAGGUACUCAAGUGCUAGGGUCUGUGUCCAAGCCCAAUCAAUUGAUCAUUAGUUGUUUUUAACUUCAACGUUUCUUUUGCAACAGCACCUCUUCCUUAAAGUAGCAAUCUUAGCAGACUGCCACCUUACAUGAUGCAUCUUAUUCUCCAAGGACAAUGAAGACUGAACUAUCGCACAUUACCUAAGAAAGAUGGGAAUUGACGUGCACAUCACAAUUGUAUACACAACAGAAAUUAUUGAAUCAUGAGAUAUACAUUCCGGUGUGUGACAGAUUGGCACAUGACAUAAUCUGGGUUCUUUAUAGACUCAGUUGUUUUGGGUCGAUCUAGAUUAUCAAGAGAAGAGCCUUCAUGCUUAGCUUUAUCUUGUACCAACCACCAGGGCCCUUGCUUCUGAGCAGGAAGCAGCUGGGGAAUAGGCUCUUCCUCUUAAUGACUUCCAACAUAGUUCUCUCAAACCUUACUCCUCCAGAAGGCCACCCUCACCUGGCUAUGGCUACUUCAGAAAAGACUUGGCCUCUGGUAUAAUAGAGCAGAAUCAUCACCUCACAUUCUAUUUCAAGCCAAAGUGAAUAUCUCAAAGGCUGGUUCUGUGAUUUAUUUGGCCCUUGGGAGCUCCUACUGAAAGUGCUGAAAUGUCGUAC